AAUUUUUUUUUUUUUUCUUUCCCUUCCACUUCUCAUCAGACUCCAAAACCACUACUUACUCUCUCCUCGAGCCCUUAAUCUCUUCCAAAUCCUCUCAUCUCUCUCUGCUCACUCUCUCCUUGAGCCCUUAAUCACUUCCAAAUCCUCUCAUCUCUCUCUGCUCACUCUCUCCUUGAGCCCUUAAUCACUUCCAAAUCCUCUCAUCAGCUACGAGUGUGGACUCACAUAGCAGAUCUUCUACGGGUGUGGACUCGCAUACGGCGGUGUCGAGUAGCAGUCUAGAAAACGGUACAGCAACAAAAGAUUACAAAAUGGCUUCUUCCUCUAGUAACAAUAGCAACAUAAGAUUGAAACCAAGAUUGUGUGAUUGUGGGAGAACAGCUGCCAUACACAUUGUCUGAACCAAUCAGAAUGGAAUAAAGGGCAUGUGUACUUUGUGUGUUCAUCGAAAUAUGUAAGCAGUAUGGAAAUUUGUUCGGAAAUUUAUUAGCCUGAUUUGAUUAACUGAUUGUCAUGCAUUGUAGAUUAGUGAAGAACACUGCAAUUACUUCAAGUUCGCAGAUGAUAAUGAUGACGACGUGAUCUCCAAUGCUACACCUCGUAAAUCUAUAAGAAGCGAAGAAUUUAACGAUCUAAGCACAAGGGUUUAUGAGAUGGAUAAUGAAUUUCAGGAGCAUGGUAGAAGGCUUCGAAGGGUGGAGAAGAAAUUGAAUGCGAUGCUUUAUGUCAUUGUGUUUUGUAUUGUUUUUUAUUUUAUAAUGUAAAUUACUGAGUUGAUAGCUUUUGGGGAAUUUGAUGGAUGUACUUAUGGAUUGAAUGGACUUGAUGCAUUGUGGGUAUGUGUUGUGCUUCAUUCAAUGUGUGUAAUGAAAAACAUGUUCUGUUUUCAAUUA